rnacentral:sRNA from 1 species
AUUUCCUCUGCCCUUUUCAAGAUAAUUAGUUCAGAAGGUUUAUGUUUUCAAUUUCACAUAUCCUUGCAUUUUCCUGUUCAAGUUUUGAUCCAUAUGGAUUAUCUUAAAUAUGCCUAUCAUUGCAAGUUUAUUUUAGAAG